UACGGAGGGGGCGAGCGUUAUUCGGAAUUACUGGGCGUAAAGCGUGCGCAGGCGGUGAUGUAAGACAGGUGUGAAAUCCCCGGGCUUAACCUGGGAACUGCAUUUGUGACUGCAUCGCUGGAGUGCGGCAGAGGGGGAUGGAAUUCCGCGUGUAGCAGUGAAAUGCGUAGAUAUGCGGAGGAACACCGAUGGCGAAGGCAAUCCCCUGGGCCUGCACUGACGCUCAUGCACGAAAGCGUGGGGAGCAAACAGG
rnacentral:rRNA from 1 species